AACACGUGAGCAACCUGCCCCUGACUCUGGGAUAAGCGCUGGAAACGGCGUCUAAUACUGGAUAUGUCCCGUCACCGCAUGGUGUGCGGGUGGAAAGAUUUUUCGGUUGGGGAUGGGCUCGCGGCCUAUCAGCUUGUUGGUGAGGUAAUGGCUCACCAAGGCGUCGACGGGUAGCCGGCCUGAGAGGGUGACCGGCCACACUGGGACUGAGACACGGCCCAGACUCCUACGGGAGGCAGCAGUGGGGAAUAUUGCACAAUGGGCGGAAGCCUGAUGCAGCAACGCCGCGUGAGGGAUGACGGCCUUCGGGUUGUAAACCUCUUUUAGCAGGGAAGAAGCGAAAGUGACGGUACCUGCAGAAAAAGCACCGGCUAACUACGUGCCAGCAGCCGCGGUAAUACGUAGGGUGCAAGCGUUAUCCGGAAUUAUUGGGCGUAAAGAGCUCGUAGGCGGUCUGUCGCGUCUGCUGUGAAAUUCCGAGGCUCAACCUCGGGCUUGCAGUGGGUACGGGCAGACUAGAGUGCGGUAGGGGAGAUUGGAAUUCCUGGUGUAGCGGUGGAAUGCGCAGAUAUCAGGAGGAACACCGAUGGCGAAGGCAGAUCUCUGGGCCGUAACUGACGCUGAGGAGCGAAAGGGUGGGGAGCAAACAGGCUUAGAUACCCUGGUAGUCCACCCCGUAAACGUUGGGAACUAGUUGUGGGGUCCUUUCCACGGAUUCCGUGACGCAGCUAACGCAUUAAGUUCCCCGCCUGGGGAGUACGGCCGCAAGGCUAAAACUCAAAGGAAUUGACGGGGACCCGCACAAGCGGCGGAGCAUGCGGAUUAAUUCGAUGCAACGCGAAGAACCUUACCAAGGCUUGACAUACACGAGAACGGGCCAGAAAUGGUCAACUCUUUGGACACUCGUGAACAGGUGGUGCAUGGUUGUCGUCAGCUCGUGUCGUGAGAUGUUGGGUUAAGUCCCGCAACGAGCGCAACCCUCGUUCUAUGUUGCCAGCACGUAAUGGUGGGAACUCAUGGGAUACUGCCGGGGUCAACUCGGAGGAAGGUGGGGAUGACGUCAAAUCAUCAUGCCCCUUAUGUCUUGGGCUUCACGCAUGCUACAAUGGCCGGUACAAUGGGCUGCGAUACCGUAAGGUGGAGCGAAUCCCAAAAAGCCGGUCCCAGUUCGGAUUGAGGUCUGCAACUCGACCUCAUGAAGUCGGAGUCGCUAGUAAUCGCAGAUCAGCAACGCUGCGGUGAAUACGUUCCCGGGUCUUGUACACACCGCCCGUCAAGUCAUGAAAGUCGGUAACACCUGAAGCC
rnacentral:rRNA from 1 species